GGUUACUGGUGACAAGUCCAUCCUUGAUGUAUAUUGUUUGUGUUGUGAUGCAUUUUAUGAGAGCAUAUGGUUAUUAAAUUGUUUUUCUUAUGUUCUGCUCACUAAACUCUUGUAGCUUAUCCCUUUCCCCUAACUCCAGGUUUACAGGAUCAAGAAUAGCUCGGGAGGUCGGCUAGAGGCUGGUAUAUGUUUAUGUAAUAGAUUAGUAGUGAACAUGUACUAUGUAAUGGAUUAGAUUUGUGCUUUGCCCUAGUUUAUGUUUUGUAAAUCCCAG
rnacentral:lncRNA from 1 species